GUUGUAUGGUUAAGUGACUAAGCGUACACGGUGGAUGCCUUGGCAGUCAGAGGCGAUGAAAGACGUAGUAACUUGCGAUAAGCCCAGAUUAGGUAGUAACAACCAUUUGAGUCUGGGAUUUCUGAAUGGGGAAACCCACGUGCAUAAGCACGUAUCCUUACCUGAAUACAUAGGGUAAGGAGGCGAACCGGGGGAACUGAAACAUCUAAGUACCCCGAGGAAAAGAAAUCAACCGAGAUUCCGAAAGUAGCGGCGAGCGAAAUUGGACUAGCCCUUAAGCUUUACACGCGUUAGACGAACGGUCUGGAAAGUCCGACGAUACAGGGUGAUAGUCCCGUAGUUGACGACGUGUGUUCAGUGAAAUCGAGUAGGGCGGGACACGUGAUAUCCUGUCUGAAUAUGGGGGGACCAUCCUCCAAGGCUAAAUACUACUGACUGACCGAUAGUGAACCAGUACCGUGAGGGAAAGGCGAAAAGAACCCCUGUGAGGGGAGUGAAAUAGAACCUGAAACCGUGUACGUACAAGCAGUAGGAGCAGGCUUUGUCCUGUGACUGCGUACCUUUUGUAUAAUGGGUCAGCGACUUAUAUUCAGUGGCAAGGUUAACCAUCUAGGGGAGCCGUAGGGAAACCGAGUCUUAACUGGGCGUUCAGUCUCUGGAUAUAGACCCGAAACCAGGUGAUCUAGCCAUGGGCAGGUUGAAGGUUGAGUAACAUCAACUGGAGGACCGAACCGACUAAUGUUGAAAAAUUAGCGGAUGACUUGUGGCUAGGGGUGAAAGGCCAAUCAAACCUGGAGAUAGCUGGUUCUCCCCGAAAGCUAUUUAGGUAGCGCCUCGGACGAAUACUACUGGGGGUAGAGCACUGUUAAGGCUAGGGGGUCAUCCCGACUUACCAACCCUUUGCAAACUCCGAAUACCAGUAAGUACUAUCCGGGAGACACACGGCGGGUGCUAACGUCCGUCGUGGAGAGGGAAACAACCCAGACCGCCAGCUAAGGUCCCAAAUUACUACUAAGUGGGAAACGAUGUGGGAAGGCUCAGACAGCCAGGAUGUUGGCUUAGAAGCAGCCAUCAUUUAAAGAAAGCGUAAUAGCUCACUGGUCGAGUCGGCCUGCGCGGAAGAUGUAACGGGGCUAAGUAGUAAACCGAAGCUGCGGCAAUAUACUUUUGUAUAUUGGGUAGGGGAGCGUUCUGUAAGCGGUUGAAGGUGUGUGGUAACGCAUGCUGGACGUAUCAGAAGUGCGAAUGCUGACAUGAGUAACGAUAAAGGGGGUGAAAAACCUCCUCGCCGGAAGACCAAGGGUUCCUGUCCAACGUUAAUCGGGGCAGGGUAAGUCGACCCCUAAGGCGAGGCCGAAAGGCGUAGUCGAUGGGAAACGGGUUAAUAUUCCCGUACUUCUUACAAUUGCGAUGGGGGGACGGAGAAGGCUAGGUGGGCCUGGCGACGGUUGUCCAGGUUCAAGUGCGUAGGCUUAAGAGUUAGGUAAAUCCGGCUCUUUUUAAGGCUGAGACACGACGUCGAGCACCUACGGGUGUGAAGUCAUUGAUGCCAUGCUUCCAGGAAAAGCCUCUAAGCUUCAGAUUGUAAGGAAUCGUACCCCAAACCGACACAGGUGGUCGGGUAGAGAAUACCAAGGCGCUUGAGAGAACUCGGGUGAAGGAACUAGGCAAAAUGGUACCGUAACUUCGGGAGAAGGUACGCUCUCGACGGUGAAGUCCCUCGCGGAUGGAGCUAUUGAGAGUCGCAGAUACCAGGUGGCUGCAACUGUUUAUUAAAAACACAGCACUGUGCAAAAUCGUAAGAUGACGUAUACGGUGUGACGCCUGCCCGGUGCCGGAAGGUUAAUUGAUGGGGUUAGACUUCGGUCGAAGCUCUUGAUCGAAGCCCCGGUAAACGGCGGCCGUAACUAUAACGGUCCUAAGGUAGCGAAAUUCCUUGUCGGGUAAGUUCCGACCUGCACGAAUGGCGUAAUGAUGGCCACGCUGUCUCCACCCGAGACUCAGUGAAAUUGAAAUCGCUGUGAAGAUGCAGUGUACCCGCGGCUAGACGGAAAGACCCCGUGAACCUUUACUACAGCUUGGCACUGAACAUUGACCCUACAUGUGUAGGAUAGGUGGGAGGCUUUGAAGCACGUACGCCAGUAUGUGUGGAGCCGUCCUUGAAAUACCACCCUUGUAGUGUUGAUGUUCUAACGUCGACCCCUUAUCGGGGUUACGGACAGUGCCUGGUGGGUAGUUUGACUGGGGCGGUCUCCUCCCAAAGAGUAACGGAGGAGCACGAAGGUGGGCUAAUCACGGUUGGACAUCGUGAGGUUAGUGCAAUGGCAUAAGCCCGCUUGACUGCGAGAAUGACAAUUCGAGCAGGUGCGAAAGCAGGUCAUAGUGAUCCGGUGGUUCUGAAUGGAAGGGCCAUCGCUCAACGGAUAAAAGGUACUCCGGGGAUAACAGGCUGAUACCGCCCAAGAGUUCAUAUCGACGGCGGUGUUUGGCACCUCGAUGUCGGCUCAUCACAUCCUGGGGCUGAAGUCGGUCCCAAGGGUAUGGCUGUUCGCCAUUUAAAGUGGUACGCGAGCUGGGUUUAGAACGUCGUGAGACAGUUCGGUCCCUAUCUGCCGUGGGCGUUGGAAGAUUGAAGGGGGCUGCUCCUAGUACGAGAGGACCGGAGUGGACGAACCUCUGGUGUUCGGGUUGUGUCGCCAGACGCAUUGCCCGGUAGCUAAGUUCGGAAUCGAUAACCGCUGAAAGCAUCUAAGCGGGAAGCGAGCCCUGAGAUGAGUCUUCCCUGAUACUUUAAGUAUCCUAAAGGGUUGUCGGAGACUACGACGUUGAUAGGUCAGGUGUGUAAGUGCUGUGAGGCAUUGAGCUAACUGAUACUAAUUGCCCGUGAGGCUUAACCAUACAACACCCAAGGGGUUU
rnacentral:rRNA from 1 species